rnacentral:misc_RNA from 1 species
UCGAAUUCAUCGCAGCUGUGCAUUCACUUGCACGCCGCGUGUCUUCAUUCACUCCUGUGCACCUUUGCGGGAUUGUGGCUUCGGACACGCCUGCUUUUUUUACACCUUUUUUGUAUGGCCUUGAAUUUAUUCGGUCGCUCUGUGAUGGAGUGGUCGUGAAAAAAUUAAAUA